AUUGAACGCUGGCGGAAUGCUUUACACAUGCAAGUCGAACGGCAGCACGGGGGCAACCCUGGUGGCGAGUGGCGAACGGGUGAGUAAUACAUCGGAACGUGCCCGGUCGUGGGGGAUAACGUAGCGAAAGUUACGCUAAUACCGCAUACGAUCUGAGGAUGAAAGCGGGGGACCUUCGGGCCUCGCGCGAUCGGAGCGGCCGAUGUCAGAUUAGGUAGUUGGUGGGGUAAAGGCCUACCAAGCCGACGAUCUGUAGCUGGUCUGAGAGGACGACCAGCCACACUGGGACUGAGACACGGCCCAGACUCCUACGGGAGGCAGCAGUGGGGAAUUUUGGACAAAGGGCGCAAGCCUGAUCCAGUCAUUCCGCGUGCAGGACGAAGGCCUUCGGGUUGUAAACUGCUUUUGUAUGGAACGAAAAGGCUCUGGCUAAUACCUGGGGCUCAUGACGGUACCGUAAGAAUAAGCACCGGCUAACUACGUG
rnacentral:rRNA from 1 species